rnacentral:rRNA from 1 species
UACGUAGGUCCCGGGCGUUGUCCGGAUUUAUUGGGCGUAAAGCGAGCGCAGGUGGUUUAUUAAGUCUGGUGUAAAAGGCAGUGGCUCAACCAUUGUAUGCAUUGGAAACUGGUAGACUUGAGUGCAGGAGAGGAGAGUGGAAUUCCAUGUGUAGCGGUGAAAUGCGUAGAUAUAUGGAGGAACGCCGGUGGCGAAAGCGGCUCUCUGGCCUGUAACUGACACUGAGGCUCGAAAGCGUGGGGAGCAAACAGG